rnacentral:rRNA from 1 species
GUUGAGGAAGAUAAUGACGGUACUCAACAAGGAAGUGACGGCUAACUACGUGCCAGCAGCCGCGGUAAAACGUAGGUCACAAGCGUUGUCCGGAAUUACUGGGUGUAAAGGGAGCGCAGGCGGGAAGACAAGUUGGAAGUGAAAUCCAUGGGCUCAACCCAUAAACUGCUUUCAAAACUGUUUUUCUUGAGUAGUGCAGAGGUAGGCGGAAUUCCCGGUGUAGCGGUGGAAUGCGUAGAUAUCGGGAGGAACACCAGUGGCGAAGGCGGCCUACUGGGCACCAACUGACGCUGAGGCUCGAAAGUGUGGGUAGCAAACAGGAUUAGAUACCCUGGUAGUCCACACUGUAAACGAUGAUUACUAGGUGUUGGAGGAUUGACCCCUUCAGUGCCGCAGUUAACACAAUAAGUAAUCCACCUGGGGAGUACGACCGCAAGGUUGAAACUCAAAGGAAUUGACGGGGGCCCGCACAAGCAGUGGAGUAUGUGGUUUAAUUCGACGCAACGCGAAGAACCUUACCAAGUCUUGACAUCCUGCGACGAUGCUGGAAACAGUAUUUUCCUUCGGGACGCAGAGACAGGUGGUGCAUGGUUGUCGUCAGCUCGUGUCGUGAGAUGUUGGGUUAAGUCCCGCAACGAGCGCAACCCUUAUGGUCAGUUACUACGCAAGAGGACUCUGGCCGGACUGCCGUUGACAAA